rnacentral:sRNA from 1 species
UCAAAAACUUUAGCGCACAAAAAUGGAC